AAGCGAGCGUACACAGGUGCUGCAUGGCUGUCGUCAGCUCGUGUCGUGAGAUGUUGGGUUAAGUCCCGCCAACGAGCGCAACCCCUGCAUUCAGUUGCCAUCGGGUAAUGCCGGGCACUCUGGAAGGACUGCCAUCGACAAGAUGGAGGAAGGUGGGGAGUGACGUCAAGUCAUCAUGGCCCUUAUGUCCAGGGCGACACACGUGCUACAAUGGCCGGCACAACGGGAAGCGAGUUCGCGAGGACGAGCGGAUCCCUCAAAGCCGGUCGCAGUUCGGAUUGAAGUCUGCAACUCGACUUCAUGAAGCUGGAAUCGCUAGUAAUCGUGGAUCAGCCAAGCCGCGGUGAAUACGUUCCCGGGCCUU
rnacentral:rRNA from 1 species